GAACCUUACCAGCUCUUGACAUGUCAGGUCGGUUUCCAGAGAUGGACUUCCUCCCAGCAAGUGGGCCUUUGAACACAGGUGCUGCAUGGCUGUCGUCAGCUCGUGUCGUGAGAUGUUGGGUUAAGUCCCGCAACGAGCGCAACCCUCGCCAUUAGUUGCCAUCAUUAAGUUGGGCACUCUAGUGGGACUGCCGGUGAUAAGCCGGAGGAAGGUGGGGAUGAUGUCAAGUCAUCAUGGCCCUUACGGGCUGGGCUACACACGUGCUACAAUGGCGGUGACAGUGGGCAGCAACUCAGCAAUGGGGAGCUAAUCUCAAAAAGCCGUCUCAGUUCGGAUUGGGGUCUGCAACUCGACCCCAUGAAGUCGGAAUCGCUAGUAAUCGCGGAUCAGCACGCCGCGGUGAAUACGUUCCCGGGCCUU
rnacentral:rRNA from 1 species